GCGCCCAUGGGGAGGACAGAGACAACUGCAGCCGCUAUUAGUAUCCGCCCAAGAUCCGCAGGAAGGAUUACCAUUGUGUCUCCUUGUUGCUUCUUGAUCUCUAAUCGCUGCCACGGCACUCUCUUACCUCCCGGCGUACAGAGAUAUUCCGCUCUGCUGCCGCUCCCCACAAGAUCAGGACGUGUAAACAUUUAAGUUACAGCCCGUGUCACCACGCCGCUGAUGCUGCAAGCAACAGGCGAGAAUCCAACCUAAUUCCGGGCGGAGAAAGGGCGGCGCGAGCAAGUUUACACCGCAGAAAACUUGGGUGAGGGGAGGAGAGGAGGCAGUCACAUCUGGGUAAACAUAACUUCACGCUGCAUGGCAACCAUCAGCUCGCCAUGUGCUGCUGAUGUGAUUCUCCUGCGUUUCAGCUUUAAAAGAAGGGCGACUUUGAAUGUGGGGAGCGGCCGGGUACUGGAGUUGGACGCUUUGGUCAGCAGGGAAGAACUUACUCCUAUACAGGAAGUCGAGAACGUGGUAGCAGUGCUUGGAAGACGCGGGUCCACGGGGAGGAAAUCUACGUUGGCGUGUUGACCAGGAUCUGGGACACAUCCUGGAUUACACAGCCUUGGACAUCAUCGUUUAGCUUCGCUCUUGGCAAUACACCAGAGGAUGAAACAAUGGGUUUGGGACAGUCGUGCCUGGGUGGUUGCAGAUUAUGUUUACAAGGCGAAUGUGCUGAUGGCAACAGUUCAGCGGAGAGUCGCCUCCAAGUCCCUGAUAUCAUAGUAACACCUCCAACACCCACCGUUCUUUCGACAGCCGGGGCCUUGAGGCAGGCUGAUGGGGACUCUCUGCUAGACGACGCUGUCCCGAACAGAUGUUAGCUACAGGAAAAAAAACCAUAUUUAUGCAGAAGCCCAAGCACCCGAGAUCACAUCAAGAAUGCUUCUUGUUUGUAGAAGCGUUAACAACAGAUUGCACAGCCACCAUCUGCCUCGUUUCACUUUGUGUUAGAAUUAUUGACUCUACACAGAUCUUCCCAUUGAUCUGGGAUUUUUUUUUACCUUUUUAAAAAUGAAUACUAAUGACAGCAGUAAUAUUGACAGUGAAUAUAAAUUUUAACAAUGUGCAAAAAAUGCAAACUGAUCUAUGCCUUGCAGGCCUUUCACUUCCUCUUCCUUCUGGGUCCCCUAUACUCCUUCCCACCAUCCAUCUGCCCAAGUGCAGCACCUUCAGAAGUUAUUAUCUGCAAGCUACAAGUGCAAAUUGAUGUUGCUAUUAUUUAGCAGCUUGGCUCUCCAAAGUAUGGCAAUGAACUAAAGAGGAAUUCUGUGUCAAGCAAAACUGAAUCCCAACCAUCAGUUCACACCUAACUUGUUUUGACCCAGAGCUUGCUUUGAACUUGUGAGAAAACCAAAGGCAGUUUCUAAAAUGCAAUAAGAUUAUCAACGUGCAAAGAUUAGUGCAGAACUGCAAAGGAAGGGCAGAUGGAGCACCAUUUCAUUCUGAUAUUGUUGAUGCCUAAAGGAAUUUUUAAUGGAGUGGCAGGCAGAUGGAAGUUUUUAAUUCACAUUGACAGGCAACAGAUGGCAAAAGGUGUAAUCUGCAAAUGCGUGAUUCCAAAGAUGUUUUUUUUUAAAUUAUCAGCAACCAAAUGGAAAAUUAAUUUUAAUCCAACCUGCCUCCUAAAUCCAUCAGGAACUGAAAUCCACUCUCGUUUGUUUUCGGCAAAUGAGACGCUCCACUUUCAAGUUGAAGAUGUACUCAGUAACGAAUAUGACAAUCUGUUCUCACUCAGCCUGCGUGAAAGGAGAUGCAAGAGACUACGAAUGAAAUUGAAGCAGUAUUUAAAUAGAGGGACAGAUCUGUAGUACAUGCCAUUGCCAGGGUUGCAUAUCUGGCUUUUAUGUUUCUCCUAUUUUUAUGAUUGAGAGUAGCGCACUUCUUGUGCUUUGGAUGGGUUAUUGAAAAAUAUUCUGCUUACAAACAUUAAAAAGUCCAUUUAUGUUGAUUCGUGCAUAGUACCCUAAUUGCUCAUUGUAUUAAUCUGAGCCACACUGCUGGGGAAGGUUCCCUGACCUCUGUGGAGAUAACAAUUGACAAUGAUGCCCUUUCAUGAGGAAAUAGAUGAACAUUACUUGGAGGUGCACAUUAAUGUCCCCUGACUCGUAUUAGAGAGUGGCUAUUGAAGAGGACAGGGCUAACGCCCAAAUUGAUCAAGUUGUCUAAUGCUAACCCUACUGUAUGUUCCAUCAUGAAGACUAUUUAAGGCAGGUGACAUUUAGCAGUGUUUGUGGCACCUUAACUCUGCAUCCAUUAUCCAUGGACAGAGAAAAUAGAGAAUAAAAUCAGUGCCAUCUAUUUGCACCCAGUGAGCAUUUCACGUUUAAUACCUUAAAAAGGUGUUUGUCUCUUUCUCAAUGGAGCACAUACUUUUGGAAGGGAUGUAUAGGUAACAUCAAAACAAGGUCAAAGAUGUAACUGUUUUUGCAUCAGCAGAGAGAGAGGGAAAUGGGAUUUACUUCUGCAUUUUAAAAGCACAGUAUUUAAUUGGUUUCACAGUGCAUGUCAGCAACUGUUACUAUUUCACAGUGCGCGGGUAGGAGAACUAUAAUUCCAUGUCCUAGGUUGAUAUGCUCAUUGAUCUAUGGUAAACUGGCACGGUUGAAUACGUCAGCUUCAGCCAGUUGUCUCUUGAAAGGCUGAAAGGAAUCAGCAGCGAAUCAGUUUGCAAACUGGUCCCUUUCAUGACCUGGCACACCUAUUCAAUGCCUCAUAGAUGGUUGGGUUGAGUUGUUCUCCAAUCUUGGCAGUUCAUUUGCAAAUGUUUAAUCACCAUAUGAGGAGACAUCGUCAGUGCGCUGUUAAUUUCAGUGUCCUCCAACUGCUUGGCCUUCGUAUUCUUAUCAAUUAGCUGACCAGUCGUCAUUGCGGAAACUCAAUUGUGAUGUAGGGAGGAGAUCUCGUCGCAAAAUUCCAGACCACAAAGCAUGGAGUUAGCCACACAACCAAUCAGCAAUGAGAUCUCCUCUCGACAUCACAAUCUAGUUUCCAUAAUGACGACCAAUUAGCUGAUUGAUGAGUGUAUAAAGGCCAAGCAUUCCAAGGACUCACCACAGAUGAAUAGCACACUGAUGAUAUAUAACCAUAUAACCGUAUAACAAUUACAGCACGGAAACAGGCCAUCUCGGCCCUUCUAGUCUGUGCCGAACUCUUACUCUCACCUAGUCCCACCGACCUGCACUCAGCCCAUAACCCUCCUUGUGUGGUGAUAGAAACAUAGAAAAUAGGUGCAGGAGUAGGCCAUUCGGCCCUUCGAGCCUGCGCCACCAUUCAGUAUGAUCAUGGCUGAUCAUCCAUCUCAGAACCCUGUACCAGCCUUCCCUCCAUACCCCCUGAUCCCUUUAGCCACAAGGGCCAUAUCUAACUCCCUCUUAAAUAUAGCCAAUGAACUGGCCUCAACUGUUUCCUGUGGCAGAGAAUUCCACAGAUUCACCACUCUCUGUGUGAAGAAGUUUUUCCUAAUCUCGGUCCUAAAAGGCUUCCCCUUUAUCCUCAAACUGUGACCCCUCGUUCUGGAUGAAAUGUCUGCAAAUGUAUUACCAAGACCGGACAACAACUCAACCCAAUUAUCAACCACCCAAUCUACACAUUUUCUGAAUUAUUUCCAUAGCUUUAUAGAUUACGGAGUUGUACUGAGCAAUGUGGUCCAUAUCCUUCCAUUUCAGCCAAAAGUCACAUCUGGUGGUGGUUCCUGUAGCCUAGAAAAAGGAGAAAUUUUCCAAAAUCUGACUUGGAUUACCUGUUGAUUACUGUAGGAAAUGUGACCGCACAGGCUUGGACAUAAUCAGGACACCUCCUACUAUUCAAACAAUAGUUUGGAUUAUCCUAUUCGCACUGCUUAUCAUGCACGACUUCUUUAAAUAGACAGUUCACGAUGUAAUAAUAAAUAGAACUGGCAUCUUCAGCACAUCGUGACGGUUUUAAACAUUUAAAUGAAGUUCAUGAUCCUGUGCUGUAAAUGCAGCCUGAAAUGUUAUUUUUUCAAGGCUUCAUGUUAAAAAAUUAUAUUUGUAAAUGAUAUAAUUAAAUGAAUGGAUUUUUUCCAGUGU